rnacentral:rRNA from 1 species
UACGAAGGGGGCUAGCGUUGUUCGGAAUCACUGGGCGUAAAGGGCGCGUAGGCGGCUUUAUAAGUCGGGGGGUGAAAGCCUGUGGCUCAACCACAGAAUUGCCUUCGAUACUGUAGAGCUUGAGACCGGAAGAGGUAAGUGGAACUGCGAGUGUAGAGGUGAAAUUCGUAGAUAUUCGCAAGAACACCAGUGGCGAAGGCGGCUCACUGGCCCCGAAACUGACGCUGAGGCACGGAAAAGGCGUGG